GACAGAGGAUGCAAGCGUUAUCCGGAAUGAUUGGGCGUAAAGCGUCUGUAGGUGGCUUUUUAAGUCCGCCGUCAAAUCCCAGGGCUCAACCCUGGACAGGCGUGGAACGUAACUACAAGCUGGAGUACGGUAGGGGCAGAGGGAAUUUCCGGUGGAGCGGUGAAAUGCGUAGAGAUCGGAAAGAACACCAACGGCGAAAGCACUCUGCUGGGCCGACACUGACACUGAGAGACGAAAGCUAGGGGAGCGAAUGGG
rnacentral:rRNA from 1 species